rnacentral:rRNA from 1 species
UACGGAGGAUGCAAGCGUUAUCCGGAAUCAUUGGGCGUAAAGCGUCCGCAGGUGGCAGUUCAAGUCUGCUGUCAAAGACUGGGGCUUAACCCUGGAAAGGCGGUGGAAACUGAAGCGCUAGAGUGCGGUAGGGGUAGAGGGAAUUCCCGGUGUAGCGGUGAAGUGCGUAGAGAUCGGGAAGAACAUCGGUGGCGAAAGCGCUCUACUGGACCGCAACUGACACUCAGGGACGAAAGCUAGGGGAGCGAAUGGG